CUUCUCCUCGGAAGCGUCUUCGUCUUCGUCGUCGCUGAUCUCCUUCUCGGUGGUCUUCUCGGUCCAGAGGUAGAUGGGGUAGCUGAUGAACUCCGAGUGCUUCUUGACGAGGUCCUUGAGGCGGCGCUCCUCGAGGUACUCGAGCUGGUCGUCCUUGAGGAAGAGCGUGAUCUUGGUGCCGCGGCCGAGCCGCUCGCCCUCCGUGUCGAGGGUGACGGUGAAGGAGCCGCCGGCCUGCGACUCCCACACGUACUGCUCGUCGUCGUUGUGCUUGGUGGUGACCACCACCUUGUCGGCGACGAGGUAGGCCGAGUAGAAGCCGACCCCGAACUGGCCGAUCAUGCUCACGUCCGCGCCCGCCUGCAGCGCCUCCAUGAACUCCUUGGUGCCCGAGCGCGCGAUGGUGCCCAGGUUGUUCACAAGGUCUGCGGCCACGGCAAACAAUCAUAAGAGAUUUGGUCAUCGUCAUCAGAUCAGAGGCAAAUGGAAGUUCAGUCUGAAACUCUAGAUUAGUUGUCGUCAGACAUUCAGACAUUCAGCAACGACUGAACAUUUAAAUUCAGGCAGACAUUCAGCAACGAUGACACCUCUAAAUUCAGGCAGACAUUCAGCAACGAUGACACAUCUAAAUUCAGACAGACAUUCAGGGAUUCAGCAACAAUAGCACAUAAUGAAUUCAGCCACCAUCCAUGAUUGAUGGAUUGAGAGUGGAAGAGGAUGCGGCCAUAGAUAGAUAGAUAGAUGGAUACCUGACUUGGUCAUGCCGACGCCGCUGUCGAUGAUGGAGAGCGUCUUGUUGGCCUUGUCGGGGACGAGGCGGAUGAAGAGCUCCGGCUGCGCGUCGAGCUUGCUCUUGUCUGUCAGGCUCUCGAACCGGAUCUUGUCAAGCGCCUGCAAGCAAAGCAUCAUUGGGUGUGAGCAAAUCAAGCAACAAAUGAAUCAUCUCUGACUCUGACGACGAACGAACAGACAAGGCAGAGAAGCAGAGGAAACAGAGCAAGGAAGGAACAGACAGAGGAGGAAGGAAGGAAGAGAGGAGAACAUACGUCUGACGAGUUUGAUAUGAGCUCGCGGAGGAAGAUCUCCUUGUUGGAGUAGAAGGUGUUGAUGAUGAGCGAGAGCAGCUGGUUGAUCUCCGCCUGGAACGCGAAGGUCUCCGUCUCCAUCUGCACGUCCGACGCCAUUGCCGUCUCCGCUGCCACUUCUCGAAGGGAAAUUGGGGGAAGAUGGCUGGGUGGGCUGCUGAUUCCUCGGCCGAUUCGCUGCGUUGAUUGCUCUGAUCGCUUGCUUGUCGCGCUGCGGGAAGAGGUUUGGGGACAGACAGAUUGACGAACAGGUGGCGGGCGGGAGGAUUUAUACCCCGGAGAUGGGAUCGCUAGGGGCCUUCGCAGGUGUUCUGGUGCCUUCCACGGAUUACCGGCACGAGCUCCGGCGCGCGUUCGCGGGCGUUCCCGAAGCUUCUUGUGGUCUCUCCCCCCUCCCGCUCCGUUGGUGCGGAGAGCGGCGAGGCGGUCGCCUUGGCCUGCCCGAGCCUUGUCCCGAAGCUUCUACAUACUACAAUGGACCUUAGCAGAAAUGGGGAGGCUGCUAUAUCUCGCUUGUACGCACGCGUAUGGGCCGGCCCAGGAUGCCCAAACCAGAAAGCAAAAGUGAAUAGGUGGUAGAGGGUGUGUGUGUUGCUGUGUCAAAUUGAGAUUGUGUGGGCGUUCGCUCAAGUUCGACGCCAUCAAGAAUCAUCAUUGGACGGAUGCCCACCCCUCAAAAAUAAAAAAUAAAACCAUUGGAUGGAUGCCCGGGCGUUGAGAAGGCGGGGCGCUCUUGGAUGCGGAGAGAACAAUGCCAAAGAGAACUCGGCAAAUGACCUCGUAAGUUCGGGUUUCUAUCGGGGCUUCCUUUAAUUUCUUGCCGCUUUCUACGCGAGCAUCUUGUAAAAUACAUGGGUAACUUAUGUUAAACAUAAGACAAGCGUUUUUACAAUGCGUGAUGAAACUAUUUUUAAUAUGGCAUGCAUUUUCUAUAUACACAUGGACCAUUUUAAUAUGAGAUUAACAUGUUUUCGUACAUUACAAGCAUCCGUUAAGUUCAUGAAAAUUUUUUGAGACAUGAUGAACACAUUAUAAGUUCACGAUGAACAUUCUUAACACACCAUUUAAGUACAUUCUUUAAGACAAUUUGAACAUUUUUAAUACACGUGUCAACAUUUUGUCAAGACAAGAUGACUUGAACGUUUUUACUUUAACAUCUUUCUACAUUAUUGUUCGUGAUGUUCAUCGAUUUCAAUAGAAACACAAAAAAGUGUUCAUGAUGCUUUUAUAAAGGUUCGUGAUGUUCAUUGAUUUCAAUAGAAACAUGAAUUAUUGUUCAUGAUAUUUCUUAAUGUUCAUUGAUUCGAAUUAGUGUUCAUUUAAAUGUUCGUGAUCUUCAUUGAUUUCAAUAGAAACACGAAUUAGUGUUGAUGAAAUUUUUAAAAAAUGCUAAAAAAGGAAAAAAAUAUGUUCGUGAAUUUCAAAAUUUGUUCCCACAUUUCAAAAAAACUUCGCCAGUUCAGAAAAUGUCUCCGAUUCAAAAAUAAUGAAUUCAGAAAAGUGUUCAUGCAUAUGAAAAAAAGUUCAUCAAACAAAGUGUUCAUGAUUUUAAAAAAUUGUACGCCGAUUUCAAAAAUAUUCACGAGUUCAAAAAAAUGUUUGCAAUUUCAGAAAAAACAUUCAUGAAUUUGUAAAGAAGUUCAUGAAUUCAAAAAAUGUUCAUGAUUUCGAAAAAUAUUUGAAAAACUUGAAAAAAUGUUCAUGAUUUAAAAUCAAGUGAUCAAGAAUUUGAAAAAGUACUCAUGAUUUUAAAACAAAUGUUCACAAAUGACGCAUUACAAGUCCUUAGUAUGAGAAUCAUAUUCGAGGAAGAGACACACAAGGAUUCUCGAAGAGAAAGGAGCUGCUCUAGAGGAUCUAAUCCUCAACGAAGAGCCAGGCGCUGAAUUUGAGAUCAUCAAGGCAUUCAAACCAAUCGGUUAUUGCCGGUGUCUUUUCUUCUUUUCAACAAAAUUCCCUUUCCUUCUCGUGUUGGCGGCGCCGCCGAUUCGCCCCACCUUCGAUGGCCUUUGGGCCGUGGAGGUGCGGAGGACCCCCUCCCCCCCCGCCCCCGCCGCGCUACGAGAGGGACCCCGUUCUCUUUUUUGUUAGAUACAACAUCUUGGUUGGGGCUGUGUGGUGGUGAUGAUGUCCCUUAGUAGGAAUAAUGUUUCCCACGUCCUAUCCCCCGCCCCAAUGGUGCGAAUAACAUCGUCGGAGGAUGUGUGGAGGUGUGUCUCCGCUGGACCUCACGGAUUCGGUCGGUGUUAGUCUUCGAUGGAUCUGUUUGGAUCUAGUUCAUCUUCGAUCUACAACUCUCUUCAUCGGCGAUGAUUACUGCUCUGAUGCGAUGGUCCUUUGGGGCCUUAGCACGACGACUACCCCACUGUCUACUACAAAAAGAUUUGCCCGGCUUCAGUGAGGGAGUGGGGAUGACGGCGGCGCGCCUUCAGCACACUCGAGUGCUUAUAGUCGUCGCUAGAUGGUCCAUGUACUUGGUUGUGAUUUUAAUUACCUCUAGUGUUCUUUGUAUGACAUGAUUGAUGAAUAGAUUGAAAAAUUUUCUCGCAAAAGAAAGGCAUUCAAACCAAGCGAAGAAUGCACUCCUACAAAAGGAUCUAAUUAUUUUUACCUGAUUCCUAUCAAAUCUCAAUGCCCGUAAUGAUGCACACUGUUGCCCACCAUUUGUGUGGAGACCAUCUCAAUUAUCACCAUCUCCCAAACUGGAUUUUGUUUUCUAAAAUUUAGGUUAAACCAGGUACAUAUUUUAUUUUUUUAAAGUAAAAUGUGAAAAGUUUGCAUGGAAAACGAUUUUUGAAAAAAAAAGGAGCAAAUGGUGGUAGAUUGGACAAAUCGUGCUCAAGAAGUUUUUGGGCCAACAAUAAUGCCUAGUAGAUCAAAAGUUGACUCCGGAGAUGGGCCCAGGCAAAGAGUGGGCUUUCAAGGUUCCGCUAGGGUUUAACGCCCUCGACGCCGCCGCACGCUCCGAAGGAGAAGAAAAGAAAUGGCAUCCUUGGCCCGCGCCGCCGCCACCGCCGCCAGAGCGGCCCUCCGCCCGGCGCCCCUCGCCGGCCGGGGCCUCGGCCUCGGCUCCUCCCUGCCGUCUUCCUCCCCCGCACGGGCCGCCCGAAUCCUCCGCAGGUAUGCUGUCCAGUAGUCAGUAGAUGAGUGGAUCGAUGGGCGUGGCUGUGUGUGUGACAUCGAGGUUUCCUGCAGGUCGGCGGUGGCGGGGCUGGAGACGCUGCUGCCCCUGCACACGGCGGUGGCGUCGGCGCGCCUCAAGUCCUGCAUCGCCGUCGACUCCACCUGCUGGUGCUCCCUCUCCCAAGGUACCAAACCCGCGCGGCGCCUUAUCCACCCCCCUUUCAGUUUUUCUGGUUAUCCACAUUUGCACUAGUUGAAUGUGUCAGCCUCAGAUUAAUUUAUAUAUCCACCAAGAACAACCCUGUAAAAUCCUGGAGUUUGACAGUUACAACUGAGUACAAUGUUGAGCGGUGUGUGGUAUUACAUUCCGAUGGGGAAUAGCUGUUAUCGACAUGCAAACCUGCACACAAGAGAGUGAAUCCUGUUGAUGCUACAUGGUUUAUGAGGUUCGAUAUGGAAAUGCGGUGUUGCUGUGGAGGGAUUCAGUUACUGACAUGCAUAAUAGUUGAAUAUACGGCGGUGAGAAGUAUUGUUCAUUCUUAGUCGAGACUAAAUUGCCAAGUUUGUAAACCUUUAUAUCUGUGAGUGAUAUAUAAUGAUCCCUUACCCUAUAAUGAUAAGAUUCUAGAACACCUUGAGGCUAGCUGUUCGUUAAUACCUGCUGGUUGUUACUAUCGCUCUUUUUUAUGAAGGCAGUUAGUAUUUAACAUCUAUCGUUUCAGCGCCAAGCGACCAAACAAUGUUUUGUUUCUGGUCAGUUAGGAUGAUUCGUCCGCUUCUAUCCAUUGUCCUCAACUAAUUCCGUGUAUUAGUUCAUGUUUGGUUAAUUUUAUAGUAUGUGGGACCAUGUGUUUUCUUUGCUUGACUUUAUCUAUCAGUGACAGCAUAUUCAUGGCACUAUGCAGUUUUAGUAAGCUGUGUGCUUCAUAGUAGAAAAAUCAAUUCAAAAUGUUGUACUUCUUGAUCUUCAUAAGUCUGAACAGUUAAGGAUCGAUGAAGAAUGAACUUGAUUGGCUUAGUUUUCCCAAUUGCAGUAGUGUCAGAUCCUUGGUUUUCAUGAUCUAGAUACCUGUAUAUUUCAUAUCUUUUUACUUGACGAUUUUUGUCAUAUUUCUUGGAACGGAUCCAUGGGCACCUUACACUUUGGAUUUGAGCGAGUAGUUUUUGGUUGUUGUGAUAUCCGGAUGGUUACCUAAGAAUAUCCAUUUUGUAUCACUUUACCUAGAGACAACACCAAAAGUAACAUCUGCAACCCUUUGUGUGUUUCCUCAUUCACAUAGUUAAUUUUACUUUUCCUACCACCUGUCCCCUCCUAACAGUUCUCACCAUGCUCUCUCUUGUACUUCACCCAAUCACUCCCCAACUAGAAUUCCAGGUGACAUGGCAGGAAAACGGUAGCCUACGUAGCCUAUGUUAUAUACUGAGGUUGACGAGCUAUAUGGCAUGUUUACAUUAAGAAUUUUGCCAUGGUAGAGUAGUAAUUGUGAUGUUCCUGGGCUCCAUCAAACAAAUAUGUCAUCCUGUCCCGGCAGCAAGGAUAGUAUUUUCAAGUCUUAUGCCCCCAAAUGUAGUUCUCAGUAAUGCAGGUCACUCGUUUAACUUUUGACAGCUGUUUCUCUUUUGGUGUCAGUAAUGCAUAUAAGAUGCUGCUAGUUUUGUGUGUCAGUAAUACAUACUCCUUUAUUCAACCAGGAAAUAUCAAAUUGAUCAAUUAAUGCUACUAAGUGAAUUGAAAUGGUUAUUGUCCAUUGUUUCCUUUUGAAAAGGAUUGGGGUAUUUAUCUAUUGACUAUGGUUGUUAUAGGUUUUAAAAAGCGCGUCUGAUCAUGGUUAGGAGCUGUGCAGCUGAGAAGUGAAGACACCGAGUUAGUGCAUUUGUUUGCUGAUAGUUCUUAGACAUGUGUCCCAUCUAUUUUGCCAUUGCUCUCGAUGAAUGUACUCUUAACAAAAUAAUGCAUACUGUUUUUUGUGUGUCAUAUACUGAAUAUUGUGGUCUUGCUUGGCAGACCAGAGUCCUUUUAUUCAACCAGUAAUGCAUAUCAAAAUGUUAGUUUUGUGUGCCAGUAAUAACAUAUUGAAUAUUGACAUCUUGCUUGGUAGACUAGACUCCUAUACAGCGAGGAAAUAUCGAAUUGAUCAUGUCUAGUUACUAAGUGAGUUGAACAUGAGAUGUUUGUGGUUGGCACCAAGUGAAUUGAAAUGCUUAUUCUCCGUUUUUUCUUAUCGGAAAGGAUGGGGUAUUUAUCUAUUGACUAUGGUUGUUAUAGGUUUUAAAAAGCGCAUCUGAUCAUGGUUAGGAGCUGCACAGCUGAGAAGUGAAGACACCGAGUUAAAAACAAAGUGCAUCUGUUUGCCGAUAGUGCCUAGAAUAUGUAUCACAUCUAUUUUGCCAUUGCUCUCAGUGAAUGUACUCUUAUAACAAAAUAAUGGAGCAUGCCACAAGUUGCCCCCUUGUCUCUGGGACAUUGUUUUUUUGUUGAGCCUGGAAAAACCUUGGAAGGAUGUCAUAUUUUUGCUUCUUAACGCGAUGUGUUGUGUAUUGCGUCAUCUAUUCUUGUCCUGACCUGUUCUUACAUUUCGUGAUAUAGGAUAUGCUUUGCCUUUGUGACAAAGAGCUGCCCCCGAAGAAACCAAUGAACAUUAAGGAUCACAGACAUUUCGGGCUGUAAUAAUUAGAUACUUGCAAACUGACAGUGGCACAGUGCAUCCAGACCUGUUUAAUGAUUAUAUAAUGUGAUUCCUCCAUGUUUUGGAGGAAGUUUGUUUGAUGCUGAAAGUUUACGCCCUGUGUGUUUUCUGCGGCUCUUGCUUUGUUAUGCAUCCCUUGAGCCUUUUUCUUGUGAUAUUUGAAACUGGGUUCGUGUGGAUUGGCACAAAACGUUUGUAGUUCAGGUCAGGAGCCCUUUAUGGUUAUGGAGAAAUCAUAGAUUUGUCAUUUUUCCAUAUGUCUUGUUUGUUUAAAAUGUGCGUCCUUGGCUCUAUAUAUGAUUAGUUGUAUGUGUGUUUAUUCUUUGAGGUUUCAGUUGCUUGUUACUUUGAGGGAGUGACACAUUUAACAUUUUAUAACAGGCCUGGAAGGCUUCAAACAGAUUGUGCCAACUGAUUGUUUAACCAACUGUUAUUGUAAGAUUUCUCUAAAAAAGUGUAGUAAAGACUAGGGCGUGUCACCUGACCGGCACUGGCUGAGUUGCCGAUGGAGCCUAGUCCUCUUGGCUGGGCGGCGGCGUGGUCGUCCUUGCUUUCUAUGAUGGCAGAUUUUCUUGACACUGAUGUUGCUCCGGAUGGUGAUGGUGUUCUCAUCAUGCUCUCGUUGCAUGUGAACAUGGCGUGCGCGCACACAUGUGAUCUGAAAACCGAGUGACACAUGCCAAUGAAAAACUGCGAAAAAUCAUAAACAUGGCACACACAUGUACUAGUAGCGAUUGUGUGAAAACCAAAAUGGUGAAUGCCAAGGAAAUUGAAAGAACCAUGAACAUGGCUGGCUAAAACCAACAAACAAAUGCUAAGGAAAACCGGAAAACCAUGAAAAUGGCGCGCACAUGGCGUGGCUCAUCUGGAAACCAGAAGAUAUAGUCCAAGAAAAAACCCGAAAAACCAAACGAACAACCUUGCAACACGAGAUCUUUAGGCUUUGCUCCUAGCCAUGCUGGAGUGUGCCUGCCACUCAAUUCUUAUAGUUAUCACGUCACAUGCAUCCCAAUCAAGACACAUACAGGAAACACAUCGCACAUAUAUAAGAAAACUGAUAUUUUUAUUCAUCACAACAAAGGGACCUAAAAGUCCGGGUGGCUACAUAGGAUCUUCCGGAUGAGAAAGGACAACGAUCCCAUCUUCUUAUUUGAAAUGAGAAACAAACGCCGAAAAUAAGAACAUUAGCUGUUGUUGCUUAGAGCGGGCGCACGUAGACACCAAGCGCAUCGAGAUAUAUCCCACUACGCCCGAAGAAGCCCACUAUGCUGCUAUUGUUUUCCACAGGUAUGGUGAAAGGGGUUCCAUUCGCUUCUCCGAAAGGCCCAUAAGCCUUCACAUUGGUGAUGAAUUUCAGUGACAUUAUUAUGUUGUGUUGGUCUGCGUCAUAAAUGCCGUAUGUUCCAGAAACUUCCUUCACAAACUCAGAAGCCCCGAGUACGAUCUGCAUAGCAUGCAAAAGAAAAAAGAAGUGUUGAGUUGCUUACACAUGGAAUUGAGAAAAUCAGAUUAAAAUUAAUUCGGAGAUCGAACCGUGUUCGGAUUUCCUCCGGAUCCUCCCCAGGGUCCACUUGUGUGCUUCUGGCCAGCUUGGUCAACAUAAGAAAAUUUGAUUGAAUCAAUAAUCGAGCCGCUGCUAACUGUGAUGCUCUCUAGACGCCUUGGUGCCUCAACGAUGUCUUUAUCUGACCCUCCACUUCCACCCCAUGGCCCAAGCUUUGUGAGAAGGCUCUACAAGAUAUAAUAAUCAUGUGAUGUUUGUUUAAAUUAAAAGGAUCGGCGUGAUCAAAAGUCAACAAAUGUUUCUAUGGAGAGAAAUAGCAAUAUGUUUUAAUUAAAAAUAAAUAAAUAAGUAACUAUUUCUAUGGAUAUUCAUCUCACCGGCGAGCCUUUCAGCACUGGACAGAACGCGUGGACAGUGAGUUCUAUGAUGUUACCGUCGCUCCUCUGCUCAUGGAACUUUUUGUAUAUGACACCGUUUGCCAUUGCGAACUGUCCUGUGCCACCAACAAUAGCCCACUCACCUUCCUCAACAGAUAUCCCCAUCACCUGAAGCGUUGACCCCUUAAACCUGUAUCAUGUCCACAGAUGGUCGGCAACUGUAUCAUGCACUGAAAUAUGCAACACCACCUAAUAAUAGAAUCAAAUGUAGCUUAACUAAUCCACAUGAAGAUGCAUUUCUUGGCAAAGGUAUAUAACCGUGCAUUUAUAUUUUUGUUGACAGCUAAUAUAAGGUAUAUAUAACCAUAUACUCCCUCCGUCCUAAAAUUCUUGUCUUAGAUUUGUUUAGAUACGGAUGUAUCAAGUACAUCCGUAUCUAGACAAAUCUAAGAUAAGAAUUUUAAGACGGAGGGAGUAUGAAACUGAAAGCAUAUGUGUAGGUACCUUUCAACUUCAAAGGUUAUGCUGAAGGUGUUCUGCCAGUUACCGGCAUAGAUAUGCAGGCCAUGUGCACGUGCAACGACGGUGGCACCGGGGCUAGGGCUAUCACAUAUCGCCCAGUUGUUAACAGCCGUCUGACCCAAACCGGUACUAGCAUUCGGGUCUAUUACGGUGGACUGGGUCUGGUUUGCGCCGAGGGAAGUGUGGAACAGGUACAGACUGCGGAAGUUGAGCUCGUUGCUCUCCACGAACGCGGCGCGGGGAGUGAUCUGGAAAUUGGAGGGGUUCGCCAUGGCGGAGUUGGGUGUGGCUCAACGGAUGGUAUAGGCUUAUGAGAUAGUAGGUCGCUGUGUGUGAGAACUCGAAGGUUGGGAGUGGUAUUUAUAGAUCGCUAGCAUCCCACGCAUCUCGCAUACUCCAUGGCAAUGUGCAUCACGAACACCAUAGCAUCCACAUAGAAAGGAAUCGUUGAACAAUGGGAUAAUCUAUGAUAUUGUCCACCGCCAAGCCAGAGAAUCGGUGCUGACUCAGGCUUGUGUAUCACGAGCACCUGUCUCACCGGCAAGCAAAUCACUGGAUCUCAGAUACACCGGCAGUAAUAAAUGAAGGUAUGGGUAACGCUUCACGUUGUAUAACCGAAGACGGACGUACACCUUGUGCAUCACAACUAGGUAAGAUCUUCACUCUGCUCAAGGCUCAUGGAAGUAAACAAAUAGAGGAUAUAAAUCCAUGUGCAUGGACGUGAUCAUCUGUGCCUCGGGAUAUUUUUCAUUGGGCUGGUUAGGGCAUCUCCAAACCAGCAAAACAGAUAUCGCAUCUGUCUGCGGACACGUAUGUGGAAACUGGCCAUCCAAAACUAUCCGUAUACAUCUGAUCUCAACUUUUUUUUAAAUUCCGCACACUCAAAUAGCUGCAUACAUAGUUUAGAAUAGUUCGAAUGUUUAAAUGCAGCAAUAGUUUUAAUUUAAAAAAGUUCAAAUAUUAUACUCCAACAUUGUUGCCUCCUUUAACCGUCCACAGGUGAUCAAUUAGAUCUUCCUUCAGUUACUUGUGAGUUGCUCGAUGCCGAAUUUGUCGAUGCAUUUGAACAAACUCUUCAAAUAUGGCUGGAUUCUGGUCUGGAAGUUCGUUAAGAUCACACAUAUUCUCAAACUCAAUACUUGCGGCAGCAUACUGAUAACCCACAAGUAUAGGGGAUCGUUUGUAGCCUUCUUUGAUAAAUAAGAGUGUCGAACCCAAUAUGGAGCUAAAGGUAGAACAAGUAUUCCCUCAAAUUCUAUCGACCAGCGAUACAACUCUACGCACACUUGACAUUUGCUUUACCUAAGACAAGUAUGAACCUAUUUUACAAGAAUAAAACUACGAGUACGUUGUGAGAAUAGAACUACGAGUAAAUUGUAAGGUAAUAAAAGUGGAUAUCUUUUGUCAACAAGAAAGUCAUUUGUCCCUAGGCAAUCGAUAACAAAUACCGGUAAUCAUUCUUGUAAUUUUAUAUGAGGAAGAGGCAUGAGCUAACAUACUUUCUCUACUUGAAUCUAUGCACUUAUGAUUGGACCCCUAGCAAGCAUCUGCAACUACUAAAAAUCAUUAAGGUCGUGAAACCCAACCAUAUCAUUAAGUAUCAAGUCCUCUUUAUCCCAUACGCAACAAUCCACCUACUCGGGUUUAAGCUUCUGUCACUCUCGCAACCCACCUUAAGCAAAUCAUGAACGUAUUGCAACACCCUAUAGCGGGGACCCUCAUGUAGACCAAACUCAUAACUCAAAUAUUCUCCUCCACGAUCAGAUCGUAGAAACUUUAUUUUCUUGUUAUGAUGAUUUUCAACUUCACUCUGAAAUUCUUUAAACUUUUCAAAUGUUUCAGACUUGUGUUUCAUUAAGUAGAUAUACCCAUAUCUGCUCAAAUCAUCUGUGAAGGUGAGAAAAUAACGAUAUCCGCCACGAGCUUCAAUAUUCAUCGGACCACAUACAUCCGUAUGUAUGAUUUCCAACAAAUCUGUUGCUCUCUCCAUAGUACCGGAGAACGGUGUUUUAGUCAUCUUGCCCAUGAGGCACGGUUCGCUAGUGCCAAGUGAUUCAUAAUCAAGUGACUCCAAAAGUCCAUCAGUAUGGAGUUUCUUCAUGCGCUUUACACCGAUAUGACCUAAACGGCAGUGCCACAAAUAAGUUGCACUAUCAUUAUCAACUCUGCAUCUUUUGGUUUCAACAUUAUGAAUAUGUGUAUCACUACUAUCGAGAUUCAUCAAAAAUAGACCAUUCUUCAAGGGUGCAUGACCAUAAAAGAUGUUACUCAUAUAAAUAGAACAAUCAUUAUUCUCUGAUUUAAAUGAAUAACCGUCUCGCAUCAAACAAGAUCCAGAUAUAACGUUCAUGCUCAACGCUGGCACCAAAUAACAAUUAUUUAGGUCUAAAACUAAUCCCGAAGGUAGAUGUAGAGGUAGCGUGCCGACCGCGAUCACAUCGACUUUGGAACCAUUUCCCACGCGCAUCGUCACCUCGUCCUUUGCUAGUGUCCGCUUAAUCUGUAGUCCCUGUUUCGAGUUGCAAAUAUUAGCAACAGAACCAGUAUCAAAUACCCAGGUACUACUGCGAGCUCUAGUAAGGUACACAUCAAUAACAUGUAUAUCACAUAUACCUUUGUUCACCUUGCCAUCCUUCUUAUUCGCCAAAUACUUGGGGCAGUUCCGCUUCCAGUGACCAGUCUGCUUGCAGUAGAAGCACUCAGUUUCAGGCUUUGGUCCAGAUCUGGGUUUCUUCUCCUGAGCAGCAACUUGUUUGAUGUUCUUCUUGAAGUUCCCCUUCUUUUCCCCUUUGCCCUUUUUCUUGAAACUAGUGGUCUUGUUGACCAUCAACACUUGAUGCUCCUUCUUGAUUUCUACCUCCGCAGCCUUUAGCAUUGCGAAGAGCUCGGGAAUUGUCUUAUCCAUCCCUUGCAUAUUAUAGUUCAUCACGAAGCCCUUGUAGCUUGGUGGAAGUGAUUGGAGAAUUCUGUCAAUGACGCUAUCAUCCGGAAGAUUAACUCCCAGUUGAAUCAAGUGAUUACAAUACCCAGACAUCUUGAGUAUAUGCUCACUGACAGAACUGUUCUCCUCCAUCUUGCAGCUAUAGAACUUAUUGGAGACUUCAUGUCUCUCAAUCCGGGCAUUCUGUUAGAAUAUUAACUUCAACUCCUGGAACAUCUCAUAUGCCCCAUGACGUUCAAAACGUCGUUGAAGUCCCGGUUCUAAGCCGUAAAGCCUGACACACUGAACUAUCGAGUAGUCAUCAGCUUUGCUCUGCCAGACGUUCAUAACAUCUGGUGUUGCUCCUGCAGCAGGCCUGGCGCCCAGCGGUGCUUCCAGGACGUAACUCUUCUGUGCAGCAAUAAGGAUAAUCCUCAAGUUACGGACCCAGUCCGUGUAAUUGCUACCAUCAUCUUUCAACUUUGCUUUCUCAAGGAACGCAUUAAAAUUCAACGGAACAACAGCACGGGCCAUCUAUCUACAAUCAAACAUAAACAAGCAAGAUACUAUCAGGUACUAAGUUCAUGAUAAAUUUAAGUUCAAUUAAUCAUAUUACUUAAGAACUCCCACUUAGAUAGACAUCCCUCUAGUCUUCUAAGUGAUCACGUGAUCCAUAUCAACUAAAACAUGUCCGAUCAUCACGUGAGAUGGAGUAGUUUCAAUGGUGAACAUCACUAUGUUGAUCAUAUCUACUAUAUGAUUCACGCUCGACCUUUCGGUCUCCGUGUUCCGAGGCCAUAUCUGUAUAUACUUGGCUCGUCAAGUAUAACCUGAGUAUUCCACGUGUGCAACUGUUUUGCACCCGUUGUAUUUGAACGUAGAGCCUAUCACACCCAAUCAUCACGUGGUGUCUCAGCACGAAGAACUUUCGCAACGGUGCAUACUCAGGGAGAACACUUCUUGAUAAUUAGUGAGGGAUCAUCUUAAAAUGCUACCGUCAAUCAAAGCAAGAUAAGAUGCAUAAAAGAUAAACAUCACAUGAAAUCAAUAUAAGUGAUAUGAUAUGGCCAUCAUCAUCUUGUGCUUGUGAUCUUCAUCUUCGAAGCACCGUCAUGAUCACUAUCGUCACCGACGCGACACCUUGAUCUCCAUCAUAGCAUCGUUGUCGUCUCGCCAAACUUAUGCUUCUACGACUAUCGCUACCGCUUAGUGAUAAAGUAAAGCAUUACAUGGCGAUUGCAUUGCAUACAAUAAAGCGACAACCAUAUGGCUCCUGCCAGUUGCCGAUAACUCGGUUAUAAAACAUGAUCAUCUCAUACAAUAAAAUUUAGCAUCAUGUCUUUUCCAUAUCACAUCACAACAUGCCCUGCAAAAACAAGUUAGACGUCAUCUACUUUGUUUGUUGCAAGUUUUACGUGGCUGCUACUGGGCUUAGUAAGAACCGUUCUUACCUACGCAUCAAAACCACAACGAUAGUUUGUCAAAUAGACUCCAUUUUAACCUUCUCAAGGACCGGGCGUAGCCAUACUUGGUUCAACUAAAGUUGGAGAAACUGACACCCGCCAGCCACCUGUGUGCAAAGCACGGCGGUAGAACCAGUCUCGCGUAAGCGUACGCGUAAUGUCGGUCCGGGCCGCUUCAUCCAACAAUACCGCCGAACCAAAGUAUGACAUGCUGGUAGGCAGUAUGACUUAUAUCGUCCACAACUCACUUGCGUUCUACUCGUGCAUAUAACAUCAAACCAUAAAAACCUAGGCUCGGAUACCACUGUUGGGGAACAUAGUAAUUUCAAAAAAUUUCCUAUGCACACGCAAGAUCAUGGUGAUGCAUAGCAACAAGAGGGGAGAGUGCUAUCUACGUACCCUCGUAGACCGAAGCGGAAGCGUUGACACAACAUAGAGGAAGUAGUCGUACGUCUUCCCGAUCCGACCGAUCCAAGCACCGUUACUCCGGCACCUCCGAGUUCUUGGUACACGUUCAGCUCGAUGACGCGCCCCUAGCUCCGAUCCAGCAAAGCUUCGGGGAGGAGUUCCGUCAGCACGACGGCGUGGUGACAAUCUUGAUGAUCUACCGGCGCAGGGCUUCGCCUAAGCGCUGCAACGAUAUGUUCGAGGUGGAAUAUGGUGGAGGGGGGCACCGCACACGGCUAAGGAACGAUCACGAAGAUCAACUUGUGUGUCCUAGGGUGCCCCCCUGCCCCCGUAUAUAAAGGAUCCAAGGGGGGGUGCGGCCGGCCCUAUGGUGGCGCGCAGGAGGAGUCCUACUCCUACCGGGAGUAGGACUCCCCUCCCGUUCCUUGUCCAACUAGGAGAGGUGGAGGGUGAAUAGGAAAGGGGGGGCGCCGCCCCUCCCUCCUUGUCCAAUUCGGACUAGGGGGAGAGGGGGCACGCGGCCUGCCCUGGCAGCCCCUUCCUCUUCUCCACAUUAGGCCCAUGAGGCCCAUUAACCCCCCGGGGGGUUCCGGUAACCCCCCGGUGCUCCGUUUUUAUCCGAUACUUUUCCGGAACCCUUCCGGUGUCCGAAUAUAGUCAUCUAAUAUAUCAAUCUUUAUGUCUCGACCAUUUCGAGACUCCUCGUCAUGUCCGUGAUCACAUCCGGGACUCCGAACAACCUUCGGUACAUCAAAAUGCAUAAACUCAUAAUAACUGUCAUCGUAACGUUAAGCGUGCGGACCCUACGGUUCGAGAACAAUGUAGACAUGACCGAGACACGUCUCCGGUCAAUAACCAAUAGCGGGACCUGGAUGCCCAUAUUGGCUCCUACAUAUUCUACGAAGAUCUUUAUCGGUCAGACCGCAUAACAACAUACGUUGUUCCCUUUGUCAUCGGUAUGUUACUUGCCCGAGAUUCGAUCGUCGGUAUCCAAUACCUAGUUCAAUCUCGUUACCGGCAAGUCCCUUUAAUCGUUCCGUAAUACAUCAUCUCACAACUAACAUAUUAGUUGCAAUGCUUGCAAGGCUUAUGUGAUGUGCAUUACCGAGAGGGCCCAGAGAUACCUCUCCGACAAUCGAAGUGACAAAUCCUAAUCUCGAAAUACGCCAACCCAACAUGUACCUUUGGAGACACCUGUAGAGCUCCUUUAUAAUCACCCAGUUACGUUGUGACGUUUGGUAGCACACAAAGUGUUCCUCCGGUAAACGGGAGUUGCAUAAUCUCAUAGUCAAAGGAACAUGUAUAAGUCAUUGAAGAAAGCAAUAGCAACAUACUAAAUGAUCGGAUGCUAAGCUAAUGAAAUGGGUCAUGUCAAUCAGAUCAUUCAACUAAUGAUGUGACCUCGUUAAUCAAAUAACAACUCUUUGUCUAUGGUUAGGAAACAUAACCAUCUUUGAUUAACGAGCUAGUCAAGUAGAGGCAUACUAGUGACACUCUGUUUGUCUAUGUAUUCACACAUGUAUUAUGUUUCCGGUUAAUACAAUUCUAGCAUGAAUAAUAAACAUUUAUCAUGAAAUAAGGAAAUAAAUAAUAUCUUUAUUAUUGCCUCUAGGGCAUAUUUCCUUCAGUUACACCACUGCACAGAGGGGGAGAGAGUUGGUGUUGACGGUAGCAAUAUUGUUGAUGUAGAUUGCCGUCACGAUCCUUGCCCCGGCGGCACUCCGGCGCCACCAGGAGAGAGGGGGAGAGAGCCGCCCUCCUCCUUCUUCUUCCUUGGCCUCCCCCCUAGAUGGGAGGAGAGUUCCCCCUCUGGUCCAUGGCCUCCAUGGCGGCGGAGGGGCGGGAGCCCCUCCGAGAUUGGAUCUCCCUCUCUGUUCUCUUCUGUUUCGCGUUCCCCAGAUAUGGCCGAAAACCGAUUCUUAUAUUUCCGGAGAUCCAUAACUCCGAUUACGCUGAGAUUUUAACACAUUUUUUUCCGGAUAUAAGCUUCCUUGCCCCUAAAGUAGAGACCCAACCGACCUAAGAGGUGAGCACAAGACAUCACCACGCGCCUGGGGCCUGGGGCGCGCCCUGGUUUAUGUUGGGGGCUGUGGGCCCCAGUUUGCGUUGAUUUCAAGUCUCAAAAAUCACAUAUAUUCCGAAAUAAUUCUUUGUAAAUUUUUAUCGCGUUUGGACUUCGUUUGGUAUGGAUUUUCUACGAAACAAAAAACAUACAACAAACAGGAGCUGACACUGGGCACUGGAUCAAUAAUUUAGUCCAAUAAAUAAUAUAAAAAGUUGCCAAAAGUAUGUAAAAGU
rnacentral:lncRNA from 1 species